rnacentral:rRNA from 1 species
CGGUGGAGUAUGUGGUUAAUUCGAUGCAACGCGAAGAACCUUACCUGGUCUUGACAUCCCGGAGACCCUUAGGAAACUAGGGGGUGCCUCCAUCUGGAAGAAUCUGGAGACAGGUGCUGCAUGGCUGUCGUCAGCUCGUGUCGUGAGAUGUUGGGUUAAGUCCCGCAACGAGCGCAACCCUUGCCUUUAGUUGCCAGCAGUUCGGCUGGGCACUCUAAAGGGACUGCCGGUGUUAAACCGGAGGAAGGUGGGGAUGACGUCAAGUCCUCAUGGCCUUUAUGACCAGGGCUACACACGUACUACAAUGGCCGAUACAAAGGGCAGCGACACUGCGAGGUGAAGCCAAUCCCGUAAAAUCGGUCUCAGUCCGGAUUGGAGUCUGCAACUCGACUCCAUGAAGUUGGAAUCGCUAGUAAUCGUGGAUCAGCAUGCCACGGUGAAUACGUUCCCGGGCCUU